GACGAACGCUGGCGGCGUGCUUAACACAUGCAAGUCGAACGAUGAAGAAAAGAAUCAAAGCUUCGGCAGAAAUUCAUUUCGGAUUAGUGGCAGACGGGUGAGUAACGCGUGAGCAACCUACCUCUUACAAAGGGAUAGCCUCGGGAAACCGGGAUUAAUACCAUAUAACAUUGCGACGAAGCAUUUCGAUGCAAUCAAAGCUACGGCGGUAAGAGAUGGGCUCGCGUCCCAUUAACCGGAUGGUGAGGUAACGGCUCACCAUAGUGACGAUGGGUAACCGGCCUGAGAGGGUGAACGGUCACACUGGAACUGAGACACGGUCCAGACUCCUACGGGAGGCAGCAGUGGGGAAUAUUGCACAAUGGAGGGAACUCUGAUGCAGCGACGCCGCGUGAGUGAUGAAGGAAUUCGUUUCGUAAAACUCUGUUCUAUGGGAAGAAAAGGACUGUACCAUAGGAGAAAGCUCCGGCUAAAUACGUG
rnacentral:rRNA from 1 species